UACGAAGGGUGCAAGCGUUACUCGGAAUUACUGGGCGUAAAGCGUGCGUAGGCGGUUUGUUAAGUCUGUCGUGAAAGCCCUGGGCUCAACCUGGGAAUUGCGAUGGAUACUGGCAAGCUAGAGUACGGUAGAGGAUGGUGGAAUUCCCGGUGUAGCGGUGAAAUGCGUAGAGAUCGGGAGGAACACCCGUGGCGAAGGCGGCCAUCUGGACCAGUACUGACGCUGAGGCACGAAAGCGUGGGGAGCAAACAGGG
rnacentral:rRNA from 1 species